AUUGAACGCUGGCGGCAGGCCUAACACAUGCAAGUCGAGCGGAUGAAGGGAGCUUGCUCCUGGAUUCAGCGGCGGACGGGUGAGUAAUGCCUAGGAAUCUGCCUGGUAGUGGGGAUAACGUCCGGAAACGGGCGCUAAUACCGCAUACGUCCUGAGGGAGAAAGUGGGGGAUCUUCGGACCUCACGCUAUCAGAUGAGCCUAGGUCGGAUUAGCUAGUUGGUGGGGUAAAGGCCUACCAAGGCGACGAUCCGUAACUGGUCUGAGAGGAUGAUCAGUCACACUGGAACUGAGACACGGUCCAGACUCCUACGGGAGGCAGCAGUGGGGAAUAUUGGACAAUGGGCGAAAGCCUGAUCCAGCCAUGCCGCGUGUGUGAAGAAGGUCUUCGGAUUGUAAAGCACUUUAAGUUGGGAGGAAGGGCAGUAAGUUAAUACCUUGCUGUUCUGACGUUACCAACAGAAUAAGCACCGGCUAACUUCGUG
rnacentral:rRNA from 1 species